rnacentral:rRNA from 1 species
AGCAGCCGCGGUAAUUCCAGCUCCAAUAGCGUAUAUUAAAGUUGUUGCAGUUAAAAAGCUCGUAGUUGAAUUUCGGGGUCAGUAGGUUGGUCAUGCCUUCGGUAUGUACUGGUCUCACUGAUUCCUCCUUCUUGAAGAUCCGUAAUGUCAUUAAUUUGGUGUUGCGGGGAAUCAGGACUGUUACUUUGAAAAAUUAGAGUGUUUAAAGCAGGCUAACGCUUGAAUACAUUAGCAUGGAAUAAUGAAAUAGGACGUUUGAUCCUAUUUUGUUGGUUUCUAGGAUUGACGUAAUGAUUAAUAGGGAUAGUUGGGGGCAUUAGUAUUCAAUUGUCAGAGGUGAAAUUCUUGGAUUUAUUGAAGACUAACUACUGCGAAAGCAUUUGCCAAGGAUGUUUUCAUUAAUCAAGAACGAAAGUUAGGGGAUCGAAGACGAUCAGAUACCGUCGUAGUCUUAACCAUAAACUAUGCCGACUAGGGAUCGGAUGAUGUUAAUUUUUAAUGACUCAUUCGGCGCCUUACG